AUGGAUAUAGAUGAUGUGAUCUGCAGCUUGCGUGUUGUUGGCGUGCCAACCAAGAGUGCUAUAUACACAUGGGGAUAUAACCAGAGUGGCCAGACUGCACGCAAGGGCAAGGAGCGCCACCUGAGGAUCCCCAAGAGCCUACCUCCCAAACUAUUCACCUGUAGGGAUGGCGAGAACCUCAGAUGGAUUGAUAUUGCAUGUGGCCGUGCACACACUGCUGCAGUCGUUUCUGACGGAUCACUCUUCACCUGGGGUGCAAAUGACUUUGGCCAGUUGGGAGAUGGAACAGAGGAGAGUGCAAAGGAACCUAAAAAGGUCAAUGCACUGGCGACUGAGUUUGUGAAAUCGGUGUCCUGUGGUGCACACUGUACAGCUGCUAUUGCUGAACCUCGAGAAAAUGAUGGCACAAUAUCGAGAAGCAGGUUAUGGGUUUGGGGACAAAAUCAGGGCUCAGAUUACCCUCGCCUAUACUGGGGUGCUUUUGCACCAAACACGGUAAUUCGGCAGGUUUCUUGUGGAGCUGUUCAUGUGGUGGCCCUAUCGGAUGAUGGCCUGCUGCAAGCAUGGGGCUACAAUGAGUAUGGUCAGCUUGGCAGAGGUUGUACUUCUGAAGGAUUGCAGGGAGCUCGUGUAUUAAAUGCUUAUGCAAGGUUCCUUGAUGACACACCUGAGCUAGUGAAGAUUGUUAGAGUAUCAUGUGGAGAGUACCAUGCAGCAGCUAUAUCAGAAAACGGGGAGGUGUAUACAUGGGGACUUGGAAGCCUGGGGCAGCUUGGGCAUCGCUCGCUUCAGUCUGGAGAUAAGGAGCUAAUCCCAAGGCGAGUUGUUGCCCUUGAAGGAAUAGUAAUUAGGGAUGUGUCUUGUGGUGGGGUUCACUCUUGUGCUGUGACGGAAGGUGGAGCCCUCUACUGUUGGGGAGGAGGACAUGUGGGCCAACUGGGGCUUGGACCUCAGAAUGGUUUCUUUUCAUGCGCUCUUAAUGGAUCCGACAUGCUACUUCGUAACAUUCCAGUCCUGGUCAUACCAUCAGGUGUCCGGCUUGUUACUUGUGGUCACUCACACACACUUAUAUCGAUGAAAGAUGGCCGUAUAUAUGGAUGGGGCUAUAAUAGUUAUGGUCAGGCAGCUAAUGAGAAAUCUACUUAUGCUUGGUACCCUUCUCCAGUUGAUUGGUGUGUUGGAGAGGUGAGAAGACUUGCCGCAGGUGGUGGACAUUCAGCUGUGUUAACUGAUGCAUCGUCCUUAAAAGAACUAUGUGAGUUUAAGCUAGCAGAGACUGUAAAUAGGUCGAACGCUCGGCUAAUAGAAGACGUUGCAUCACGAACCGGGGCUGAUGCAUUGGCACGCCUGUGUGAGAAAUUAAGGGAACAUUUGGUUGAGCAAGGAGACUCCGAGCUUAUGGAAAUGCACAUGGUUGAAGAGAUCGAGGCCAAAGCCGGUUAG
rnacentral:rRNA from 1 species